rnacentral:rRNA from 1 species
UACGUAGGGUGCAAGCGUUGUCCGGAAUUAUUGGGCGUAAAGAGCUCGUAGGCGGCUUGUCGCGUCGGCUGUGAAAACUCGGGGCUCAACCCCGAGCCUGCAGUCGAUACGGGCAGGCUAGAGUCCGGCAGGGGAGACUGGAAUUCCUGGUGUAGCGGUGAAAUGCGCAGAUAUCAGGAGGAACACCGAUGGCGAAGGCAGGUCUCUGGGCCAUAACUAACGCUGAGAAGCGAAAGCAUGGGGAGCGAACAGG